AUGAAUAUAUUCUGCUGGAAUUGUCGUGGUUCGGGUAAAGCCGCGACAAUUCGAGAGCUUCGCGAUUUUGCGAGGCAAUUUACCCCUACCCUCUUAUGCAUUGUUGAAACUCAAAUGGAUAGUACUAGGGUAGAAGCUUUGUCGGAAACGCUUGGUUUUGACUGUUCUUAUGCUGUGAGUAGUGAUGGUAGAAGUGGUGGCAUUGGCUUAUUUUGGAACAACUCAAUAAAUGUUGAAAUUCUUGGUUAUUCUGGUUAUCACCUCGACGUUUCCAUUGAGGAACAAGGUACGGCCAAGUGGAGAAUGACGUGC
rnacentral:rRNA from 1 species